AUAUACUGAACCGCAAAAGAAACGCCACACCGAUAGAGGUUUCUUAAAGCACACACUGUAAUUCGCUCUAAUUAACAAUCAAACCGAGGACUGAGUUCAAAUUUUACUAUUGAACGGUUAAU